GUUCCUUUGACACACAACGGUUUGUUUCCAGCUGGUAGACGAUGUAUAUUUCAUCACUGACUCCUCUCGUUUCAUUCGCUUGAGGGCAAAGUAUGCCCGGAAACCAACAUACGCCUACUUGUUUUCGUUUCAAUCGGACUACAACCAACCUCCUCGCGACCCAAGAAACCGCGAUCACCUUCGAAACGCGGUGAUACACGGCGACGACCUGGGAUACAUUUGGCGAACUGAGCGAACCAAAGGCCUCCAAGACCUCAACGGCACAGGCAAAGCGGCGGUCGCUCUGCGGCGACAAGUUGCAAUGUGGUCCAAUUUCAUAAAGUAUGGAGAUCCAACACCAUCGACAAAUGCGGGUUUGCUGUCCGUGCGAUGGGCUCCGGUGCGACACUUGACACAACCAGCUUAUUUGGAAAUCGGAGAAAAUAUGACCAUGCAACAAGGCGUCUUCGAAAAUUCAAACAGCCCCUGGGCUGCUCUGUUCAGCAGUUUGCGGGACAAUAAAAGUCUAUAGCAUUCAUAA